GCGGCCGCGGCCAACGCGCAGGUCUACGGUCAGACCGGCCUCCCCUACGGCCCCGGGUCUGAGGCUGCGGCGUUCGGCUCCAACGGCCUCGGGGGUUUCCCCCCACUCAACAGCGUGUCUCCGAGCCCGCUGAUGCUACUGCACCCGCCGCCGCAGCUGUCGCCUUUCCUGCAGCCCCACGGCCAGCAGGUGCCCUACUACCUGGAGAACGAGCCCAGCGGCUACACGGUGCGCGAGGCCGGCCCGCCGGCAUUCUACAGAAUGGUGCUGUCAUGUGGACUGUCCUCCCGAGUGUCCCACUGGAUGUUCAGGGAAUUUAUGUGAAGGUCACGUCAUUUAGCAUUGAGAUGCUGUGGUUACCUUCUUCCAUUUCUUCCAUAAUAUGCAGCCACAUCUAUGUGUGAAGAAAUGUAAUAGAUAAAAUUUCUCUGGGCGCAUAAUAAUGUGAGAAAGAUUGUCACAUGUCCCAGCAAAUUGUUAUUAAUAUAAAUUUGUUACUUGGCAAGCUGAGAUUUUGCAAGAUGUUACUC
rnacentral:sRNA from 1 species